rnacentral:rRNA from 1 species
UACGGGGGGGGGCAAGCGUUGUUCGGAAUUACUGGGCGUAAAGGCUCGUAGGCGGCCAACUAAGUCAGACGUGAAAUCCCUCGGCUUAACCGGGGAACUGCGUCUGAUACUGGAUGGCUUGAGUUUGGGAGAGGGAUGCGGAAUUCCAGGUGUAGCGGUGAAAUGCGUAGAUAUCUGGAGGAACACCGGUGGCGAAGGCGGCAUCCUGGACCAACACUGACGCUGAGGAGCGAAAGCCAGGGGAGCAAACGGGG